rnacentral:rRNA from 1 species
GAUGAACGCUGGCGGCGUGCCUAAUACAUGCAAGUCGAGCGAACGGACGAGAAGCUUGCUUCUCUGAUGUUAGCGGCGGACGGGUGAGUAACACGUGGAUAACCUACCUAUAAGACUGGGAUAACUUCGGGAAACCGGAGCUAAUACCGGAUAAUAUUUUGAACCGCAUGGUUCAAAAGUGAAAGACGGUCUUGCUGUCACUUAUAGAUGGAUCCGCGCUGCAUUAGCUAGUUGGUAAGGUAACGGCUUACCAAGGCAACGAUGCAUAGCCGACCUGAGAGGGUGAUCGGCCACACUGGAACUGAGACACGGUCCAGACUCCUACGGGAGGCAGCAGUAGGGAAUCUUCCACAAUGGGCGAAAGCCUGACGGAGCAACGCCGCGUGAGUGAUGAAGGUCUUCGGAUCGUAAAACUCUGUUAUUAGGGAAGAACAUAUGUGUAAGUAACUGUGCACAUCUUGACGGUACCUAACCAGAAAGCCACGGCUAACUACGUG